AUAUUAUGUCCAAACAUUGAAUCACCAUUUAGUUGUAGCUAGCUAUCUUCGAAUUAAUUGAAACCAAGACUACAUCAAAGAUGGUUUCUUCAAAGUCAACCAUUCUUUUUUAUUGUAGUUACCUUAAGCUACCAAUCAGCUUAUGAAGGUUUCAUUAUUUCGGGUCAAAUGGUACUUUAUCAUUUCCUUGAGUAUAUAUCGUAUAUACACUCAAUGUAGUCAUAAGGAUUUUCAUUCUUAUUUCUUUCGAAUUAAGAGGUGUAACUCUAUGACAUAGUCAUAAAGUUCAAACCAUUCAACUGAGACGGUUUAUAAAUCCUUCUCGACUACCUUGGAGCUUGUGGUAUAGGAACUAGGUUGUUAUAUUUGUUGAUCACUAUCUUGUUUCUUAAAGAACCAUUCUUUGAGUUCUAUCCCUCGUUCAUUUGCUCUAUCUUGGGCAAAUCCUAGUGUAGGAUUACAAUGAACUACCCAACAAACAACAUUUGUUAGUUGGUUUAUAGAAGUGAUAUCCAAAUGUUAAUUUAAGGAUACCCACAAGAUAAUUCUUAAACAAAUAUUGCUUAUUAGCACACAACUCCAAAUCUUAACAUGAUUAAGUUUUGUCUUUCUUUCCAACUACAUCCUAUGGAGUCAUGAAAAUUUUGGAAGAUCUUCUAAUUGACAAUCAUAUUGUCUUAGAAGUAUAUAUCCUAUAUAUGGGUAAUUGAUAAUAUCCAACGAACUAAAUUUUAUUUAAGUUCAUUCUUCUCCUUAUGGAGAAAUCUAUUAUCUUAUGAUGCUUAUUUCCUUGAUAUCUUUCAAGGAAACUGUUCUAAAGUGUUACCUUAUCUUGGAUCAAAUCUAAGGAGGUAAAUACUUUAGACGUCUUACUCAUCAACUUACAUUACUUGAAUUCUUUGAAACAUUUUGCAAAGUAUUCGGACUUGUGUUUAUUCAAAAUAAACUAUAGUCCAACCGAGAGUGAUCUUCGGUGAAUGUCAUACAACAUGAGUAGUAUUAUGUUGUGGACAAGUGCCACUAACAUCUAAGUGAAUUAACCUCAACAACUUUGUGAUUCUUUCUUCUUUCCAAAAGAAUAAAGAUUCGAACAUUUCGCCUCUAUACAAUUUUAAUAAGAAGGUAUUGGAUCUGGAUCUAACGAUCCAAAGCAUCCAUCUAUGACCAACUCGUAUUUUAUGUUUUUGAGGUAUCACAACUCAGUUGGGAUUAGUCACUACCUUGCAACCUUUUGGGUUUUAAGCAUCGUUAUAAUUCUAAACAGUUAACACUACCAUAUCAUCUCUACUAUAGAGACAAUUAAUUAGAUUACUAUAAUCCAAUCAUUGACUAAUAAAGAACAAUGUUUUGUCAAACAAAACAUUCAUCCAUCUCUACUAUAGUGACGGAAAUAAGUUCCUUAAAAUUGGAAAGUAAAGACAAUCUUUGGUUUUUCCAAUUUCUUUGGUAGUUCAUAUGAGGAAGUAAGUACUAUCUGCUU
rnacentral:lncRNA from 1 species